UGAAUACGAGAUGCUACGGCAUUGAAGCAGUGUAUGUCAGACUUCCAAGAAAAGCUCGCAAUGUCAUAAACAAUAAAUGCCUGUACCAUAACCGACACAGGUGGGUAGGUAGAGUAUACUAAGGGGCGCGAGAUAACUCUCUCUAAGGAACUCGGCAAAAUGACUCCGUAACUUCGGGAGAAGGAGUGCCUUAUUUUAUAAGGUUGCAAUAACAAGAUCCAAGCAACUGUUUACCAAAAACACAGGUCUCCGCUAAGUCGAAAGACGAUGUAUGGGGGCUGACGCCUGCCCAGUGCCAGAAGGUUAAAGAAGUUGGUUAGCUUCGGCGAAGCUGAUGACUGAAGCCCUGGUGAACGGCGGCCGUAACAAUAACGGUCCUAAGGUAGCGAAAUUCCUUGUCGGGUAAGUUCCGACCCGCACGAAAGGCGUAAUGAUUUGGAUACUGUCUCGGAGAGGGGCUCGGUGAAAUAGACUUGUCUGUGAAGAUGCGGACUACCUGCACCUGGACAGAAAGACCCUAUGAAGCUUUACUGUAACUUGAGAUUGAAAUUGGACUUUAUUUGCGCAGUAUAGGUGGGAGACGUUGAGAAUAUUCUUGCGGGAAUAUUGGAGUCAUCAGUGAGAUACCACUCUUGUAAUGUUAGAUUUCUAACUUUGUAUCAUUAUCUGGUCAAAGGACAGUUUCAGGCGGGCAGUUUGACUGGGGCGGUCGCCUCCUAAACGGUAACGGAGGCGCACAAAGGUUUCCUCUGAACGUGUAGAAAUCGUAUCUAGAGUGUAAAGGCAUAAGGAAGCUUGACUGUGAGACCUACAAGUCGAGCAGGGACGAAAGUCGGUCUUAGUGAUCUGACGGUGCUGAGUGGAAAGGCCGUCACUCAACGGAUAAAAGUUACUCUAGGAUAACAGGCUGAUCUCCCCCAAGAGUUCACAUCGACGGGGAGGUUUGGCACCUCGAUGUCGGCUCAUCGCAUCCUGGGGCGGUAGUACGUCCCAAGGGUUGGGCUGUUCGCCCAUGAAAGCGGUACGCGAGCUGGGUUCAGAACGUCGUGAGACAGUUCGGUCCAUAUCCGGUGUAGGCGUUAGAAUAUUGAGAGGAGCCUUCUUUAGUACGAGAGGACCGAGAAGGACAUACCUCUGGUGUACCAGUUAUCGUGCCAACGGUAAACGCUGGGUAGCUAUGUAUGGAGUGGAUAACCGCUGAAAGCAUCUAAGUGGGAAGCCCACCUCAAGAUAAG
rnacentral:rRNA from 1 species